rnacentral:rRNA from 1 species
CAAUAGCGUAUAUUAAAGUUGUUGCGGUAAAAAAGCUCGUAGUUGGAUUUCUGCGGGGAACUUGCGGUACACUCAACGAGUGCUUAUCUGCACAGGUCUCUGCAUCCUCUCGAAAGACGCUUCCGCGCUUGAUUGCGUGGUUCGGAUUCCGGGACUUUUACUUUGAGGAAAUUAGAGUGUUCACGACAGGCUAUCGCCAGAAUACAUUAGCAUGGAAUAAUACUAUAGGAUCUUGAUCCUAUUUUGUUGGUUUCUAGGAACAAGAUAAUGAUUAAUAGGGACAAUUGGGGGCAUUCGUAUCAACACGUCAGAGGUGGAAUUCUUAGAUUGUGUUGCGACGAACUACUGCGAAAGCAUUUGCCAAGGAUGUUUUCAUUGA